AUGAAAUGGUGUUGGCUGACCGGAAAGUGAAGGUAUUGAUGAAAAUGUGGCAAGCAAUUCAUUGGCGGAGCCAUUGGCAGUUUCAUUGACAGACAAAAACCAAAAUCUGGAAUAAAAUGCUGUUUUAAUUGAUGUCAUCAACAAUGCAGAUAUAAUAUAAUAAUUGAAGAGACAAAUGAUUUCACUAGAAUAAUAAAUGAUACGAAAAAAAUUAUAACCGAUAUUCAUUCUGAAAUAGAAAGUUUGAAAAACAAAUAAGAGCAAUCAUUUUCACUGAUUCAGGAAACUGUUAAUCUCAUUUUGGCUAAAAUAAAUAGUGAACGAUAUUCAAGAGAAGUUAUAAUGAAAGAUAAUAAAAUUGGAAAAUAUUUUCCACUAACUUCAAUUGAAAAUUUCCUCGAAUUCGAGCAUAUAUUGAACAACGAUUAGGAAGUUUUAAUAUAAGUCAUGAAUAAAGUUUUGCUAAUUGGAGGAAAAAAUGAGAAGGAUUUUAUUCGAAAGGUGCAAUUUUUACUGAUGUUUUAGCUUCAAUAUGUUAAUGGACAAGACAAAAACAAAAAUUUUAAAGAUACACAUGUUAUAAUAGGUAUCAAAAAUAAGUGCUUUUGUGACAAUUAUGACAAACACACGUGUGCAUACACACGCUAUACGCACACAUGCACGCACGCAUACAUGUUUGUGCACAGAUUAUGUUAGCAAUCCUGCAACUCGUUAUGAUUGAUUAUUUUUGACUUUAUUUUUUUCUCUACUUCAACUUUAAUUGACUUUAACUGAAUGCUUUGCGUUCUUUCAGUCUAGAAUAACAGUUCAAAGUAUUAAGAUAUAUUUGUGUUGUUGUAAUGAAAAUAAAAUCGCAUAAUAUCUCACAGCGACAUGCCACCUUUUAGUGUCUUAUAACUAACUUAUAAGAAGUUUUAUCAAGCUUUUUUUGCCAAAUUGUCGAAUUUUAUUUAAAAAAAAAAUGACAUUUUUGUACGAUAUAACGCAAUUUCAGACUGAAAGAAUGCAAAGCCUAAUCAAUCGAAGUUGGAGUAAGCAAUAAUCGAAGGUGAAAAUUAGUGACAAUCGGUUGCAGAGUUAACUAACACAAGAGGAAAGUAAUCUGUUUACUUUAUUAUCUGACGUAUAUUUCUAUCGUAUUUCAAAAUGUAUCAAUUAGAAUAAAAUAAAUCACAUACAAAUAAAAGA
rnacentral:lncRNA from 1 species